rnacentral:lncRNA from 1 species
AUGCUCGUAAGCUUCCUGACACCACGUAGACUCGACACAAACUGAAUUCGUGUCUCAACUACAUUAAGAAAUGAUGACCAACCGAGUGAUGAUUAGAAAUGGAAGAAGUUCAUAUCUAGCUUUAAGCCCAAAGAAGAGGUAUGUAGAUAUUAUUUUCACCUUACGAGUAGCAGCAGCUGAUGGGUUGGCUACUGCUUCUAUGGCUCUAUAUUCAUUCAUCUUCCAUUUGGUUUUCCUCCCAGAAGGAGCUUUUCCCUUAUAAAAGACCAUGGUUUUCUUCAUUCCUAUCACUUGGUUAUCUGAUGAGUAGACAUAGCUGGGAGACCCUGUUGCCUUCCAGUAUCCAGAAGCUGUAGUUCGGUUAGGUCUCCCUCCACGAGCUUCCUUCUCUUGUCUUGGUGUAAAGUAAAACCAUUGCUCUGUGUCUGCUUUACAAACCUCCCCAGCAAGCUCUGCAACAUAUCCAAAACAAAACCAAAAAAAAGAAAAAGAAAACCAAAACAGAUUAGGCAGUGUAGCAUUCUUUUUGAAGCAUAUCUAACAUAUAUUGCAUUCGUGUUGUAAUGAGCAGUAAAGAAAAUUGUACGUGGAAGGUCCCAUGGCUCUACAUCGUAAAUGUUGAGGACUGGGAUAACAUGGUGCAUCUCUUGUCUCUUGCCUUCCAACUGGUUGCGUAGGUAGAAGGAAACCAACUCCUCUUCUGUG